AGAGAAUUGGCUGAGAGGUUUAAGGCGAUGAGCUUGAAACUCAUUUGGUUAUAUAAAUCACAUCCGUUCGAAUCGGAUAUUCUCUG
rfam:Genlisea aurea contig_16144, whole genome shotgun sequence.